GAUGAACGCUGGCUACAGGCUUAACACAUGCAAGUCGAGGGGAAACGACGGGGAAGCUUGCUUCCCCGGGCGUCGACCGGCGCACGGGUGAGUAACGCGUAUCCAACCUGCCUCUGACUGAGGGAUAACCCGUCGAAAGUCGGCCUAAUACCUCAUGGCAUCGUCUGCGGGCAUCCAACGACGAUUAAAGAUUUCAUCGGUCAGGGAUGGGGAUGCGUCUGAUUAGCUUGUUGGCGGGGUAACGGCCCACCAAGGCUACGAUCAGUAGGGGUUCUGAGAGGAAGGUCCCACACAUUGGAACUGAGACACGGUCCAAACUCCUACGGGAGGCAGCAGUGAGGAAUAUUGGUCAAUGGGCGGGGGCCUGAACCAGCCAAGUAGCGUGCAGGAUGACGGCCCUAUGGGUUGUAAACUGCUUUUAUGCGGGGAUAAAGUGAGGGACGUGUCCUUCAUUGCAGGUACCGCAUGAAUAAGGACCGGCUAAUUCCGUG
rnacentral:rRNA from 1 species